GCUUUAACCAAAGGGUAGCUCAGUCGGUAGCGCACAAGACUCUUAAUCUCGGGUUGUGAGUUCAUGCCCCGCGUUGGGCA